rnacentral:tRNA from 1 species
GAGGGUAUAGCUCAGUGGUAGAAUGUGUGCUUAGCAUGCACUGGGUCCUGGAUUCAAUCCCUAGUACCUCCA